UCUUUAUAACAACGUUAUUUUAAUAGGUUAUUUUAUUUAAAUUAAUUAUUUUAAUAACUAGUUAUUUUAUUGGGGUGAUACAAAAAUUUAAUUAACUUUUUUUAUUUAAUUACUGUAAUUAAAGAUUUCAAAAUUAUGAUCUAUUAUUAAUAAUUCAAAGAAUAAGA
rnacentral:rRNA from 1 species